GAAGGAGAAGCGAUGGCAGCAGCGACGGGGCGGCGGGUGCUCCGAUCUCUUGCCUGGCUCCGGUGCUUCCUUGGGCCUCGGAUCGCGGGGGGAGGAAGAGCAGGGAGGACGGGGAAAAGAGAUCCCUCCAAAGCCCCUGGAACCUCGGACGACGCCUCCGGAAGAGUUGGCCUCCGCUUCUUCGCUCCGGGAUCAUCGGAAACCCUGACCCAGGUGGAUCUCCUCUGAGGUGGAUCUCUCCGCAAGCAGCCGGGCGAUCCUCUCCUUGGAUCGACUGCCAGGGGAACCGGGCGUCGGGGGAACUCUGAAACUCAUUCCCAAAAAGAAAGAGGAAGCUAACAGAACCGCGUUUGGUGGAAGAUCCGAAAAUACAUGGAUGCAGCACUCACCUUUGUCUAUUGUGGCUGCAUCCGCACGGGAGAAAUAAUCCAAUUUGACACUGCUUUAACCGGUACCACAACAAACUACAAAUCCCAGAAUUCCAUAGCUUCGCACCGUGGCAGUCAAAGCAGUGCCAAAUCGGAUUAUUUCUCCCGUGCGGAUGCAGCCUGUGUUAAGGAAUGACGCUUGCCUGUUUCAUUUAAGCACUUGGGGUCUCAUACCGGGAGUUUCUGUUCUGUUUUCUCUUACUUUGUUUCAGGCGAUGUGAGCUUUGUUUCGGUUUGAUUCCAGUUCAAAAUGGUGUGGACAGCAGCAACCCAACGCAGCCCUCUCUUUAGAACCAAGUUUGGGAUUUUCCACCUUCCUCUCCUCUCUUUUUCUUUGCGGCUGCAUUUUAAAUGCACGCAGGACGAACAUUUCUUUUUCCUCCUGCGACAUUUUGCGGGUGUCUACUCUGUGUAGAGUUUAUGUACAAUACUACUCCAGGUCGCCUGCUUUUCUGUCUUUCUGUCCAGCUUCUGACACUCAAUAUUAAAAUAUGCAAACAA